rnacentral:rRNA from 1 species
GAUGAACGCUGGCGGCGUGCCUAAUACAUGCAAGUCGAGCGAAUGGAUUAAGAGCUUGCUCUUAUGAAGUUAGCGGCGGACGGGUGAGUAACACGUGGGUAACCUGCCCAUAAGACUGGGAUAACUCCGGGAAACCGGGGCUAAUACCGGAUAACAUUUUGAACCGCAUGGUUCGAAAUUGAAAGGCGGCUUCGGCUGUCACUUAUGGAUGGACCCGCGUCGCAUUAGCUAGUUGGUGAGGUAACGGCUCACCAAGGCAACGAUGCGUAGCCGACCUGAGAGGGUGAUCGGCCACACGGGGACUGCGACGCGGCCCAGACUCCUACGGGAGGCAGCAGUAGGGAAUCUUCCGCAAUGGACGAAAGUCUGACGGAGCAACGCCGCGUGAGUGAUGAAGGCUUUCGGGUCGUAAAACUCUGUUGUUAGGGAAGAACAAGUGCUAGUUGAAUAAGCUGGCACCUUGACGGUACCUAACCAGAAAGCCACGGCUAACUACGUGCCAGCCGCCGCUGUAA